CUUUUUCUUCGAUUUGGACUCUAAGAAAAAAUUACGCUGUUAUCCCCAAGGUAAUUUUUCUUUUAAUCUUAAAAAAAGGAUCAUUUUAUUCCACUUAUUAAUGAAAUUAAAAAUAAAAAAAGUUAAUUAAAUUUUUCAAUCACCCCAAUCAAAUACUUUUUUACUAAAAUAAAUUUAUAUUUCCAUAUUUUAUUUUUAUAAAUAAAUAUUAAACUCUAUGGGGUCUUCUCGUCUUUUAUAAAAAUUUAAGCUUUUUAACUUAAAAAUAAAAUUCAAAAUUCUUAGAUUGAGACAGCUAUUUUUUCAUCAAACCUUUCAUUCCAGCUUUCAAUUAAAAAACUAAUGAUUAUGCUACCUUAGCACAGUCAAAAUACCGCGGCCGUUAAA
rnacentral:rRNA from 1 species